UUCUCUCAUCUCUUGUCUCUGCAAACUUAUUAAGUGAACAGGGAAUUUGCACCAACGUUACAAGGCUCCUGAGCAUCACAGCCUGGCCACAGGUAUGAGCAGCAUUCCAGGCUCGUAUGUGGGAGCAGAAUCAUCAAGAUUUUAAUUGAAGAAAACUACUAUGAAAUUUAGCAUGAGAGAGUCGACGGCGGGUUCAGACCCUCGAGGGAUCACAGAGAGCCAUCCUACCCCACGCUUGGAGGAAGAAGAAUUGGAAAUAUUUGGUGAAGAGUAUUAGUAUCAACUACAAACGACCUUCCUCACUGGACCAGCUGGAAGUCAUAACUUCUUACCUGACUCUCACGCUGACUCAGAGGUCCUUGAAUGAAAUGGUGAUGCUAAUGAACACAACAUUUUCAAAGAGAACAGAAGAAGACGGAGACAGAGAAACACCAGGGCGUGGAAAGCAAACCAAGCAGAUGACCUGCUCGCCUGCAAAGAGAUCUGGCUGUCCGUCUAAAACAAGAAGAAGGAAGAAUACUUUUUAAAGUUAUACAUUUCUGGUGUUUUGGAAAAGAUCAAUGUUUGUCAGUAUGAUACUUGUAUGAUUUAAAAGGAAAAUUGUAGGUGUACCAUCCUUUCAAUUAAAACCAGGGAAAAAUGUUAAUGGACAAAUGAGCAGGGUUCAACUUGUAGGCCGUUCUCAUUAGAGCAGUUCUCUCUUCUCUAAGUGAUGACUAGAAAGAUGUAUUUGAUGCCUAGGAGCUUUGAGAUCCGUUCACCGUAGUUUGCGGAGUGGGGGGAAGUAAGUAAACCUUUUAAGAACACUGAAUUCCUAAUAUUUUUAAUUUAUAGUUAAUGAUUGGUUUUUAACACACAAACUACCAUAGUGGUAUCUGGAAUGAAAUCAUUGAUUAUUGAAGUAGGAAGGAACCUUAGACAUGGGCUAAUCUUCAGAACUGAGCCUCAAUCAGGCUUAGCUUAGUCAUUAGGAGCAUAGGAAGUUUUGUUACACGAAACUUAGGGUAAGGUGUUAGUUUCAUGAUUAACUGUAGCAUGGCCAGGG
rnacentral:lncRNA from 1 species